rnacentral:sRNA from 1 species
AUUAAAUAAAGACCUCCUAACUUUAUUUAAUAGAAUCCUAAACUUUUUUCAUAAUAAUCUCCGACAAAAGCCAUUCUUAUGAGUGGCUUUUGU